CUCGUUUCUAUUGACAUGACCGUCAACAUUCAUCGUACAUAAGGAGGCAAGGGGGAGUAACAGAAAGGUAUUUCUUGGGAAGAUUCCUUCGGUAUCAAUGGGCAUUGGUCCACUUCUAGAACGCUUCCUUAUUGGUUGUAAAUCUCUCCUGGAGUUCUUUAUUGGAAUCUACUGAGUCAGCUGGAAGACCAGUCCCCAUAGAGAAUGCUCGUCCU